ensembl:lncRNA LINC00314 long intergenic non-protein coding RNA 314
CAGACAUGUAUCUCAUUAUCUUCUGCAAAGAUCUAUUUGUUUAGCCAUGUGCAAAUAUUGCCCUAAAAUGUUCACAGGUUCCAGGAUAACCAGAUGACUGAGGAAUGUUGAAGAUUGCAGUGAUGGAAGUGUCUCAGUCAGCCUGGAAGACUGUAUGGAAGGAGGUUGCCUGGCCACACUGUCAUGUCCCCCUCUCCCUAAAAAAGGGACACAUUUGCCUUUGUGCAAGGCAACACAUACAUUUGGUCUGUGUAUAUACUUUGGUCUAUGUAUUCUGUUAUUUAACAUUCUAAUAAUGUUGAUGACCUUAAAAUAUGUUUGACAAUGAUCCUUGUAAAUCAUUAUUAUUCUGCCUUCUGCAAGAUAAGAAUUAUGGGCCAGGUAUGGCACUUAACGCCUAUAAUACAAACAUUUUGGGAGGCCCAGGCAGGAGGAUUGCUUGAGCUCAGGAGUUAGAGACCAGCUUGGGCAACAUAGUGAGACCUCAUCUCUACUAAAAAUAAAACAAAAAAAGUUAUGAUAGUGACACUGCACUCCAGCCUGGGUGACAGAGCAAGAUCCUGUAUCCAAAUAAAUAAAUGCCUAAUAUAGGAAUUAUCAAAUUCAA